CAACCCCCUACCUUGUAACCUGCUCUUGUAUCAGUACUUAACCGUCACAGCUGAAGGUAUUACUUGUUCUUUAGAUUCCUAGUGAAAUACCGUUACCUGAUUGUACAUAAAUGCGUUUACCAAAAAAGUUGGAUGGAACUUCGUAAUCAUUCGAACUUUAGAAAUCAUUUGCUCCCCUUCGGUUUUGCCAUCCGAGCGGAAAUAUAUAGACUAGCUGGAAUGGGAUUAGCACCAACAUAACGGGAGCAUGUGUAGAACUGAUAGUAAUGGGAAGUAGUUUAGGGUGUAGAACUGAUAGUAACGGGAAGUGGUUUAGGGUGUUUUAUUGUGAAACAACCGUUGUACUCUAAAAGCUUAAGCUGUUAGAGAACGGUGUUUAAACAUUUUUAUAUUUAACACUUCCCCUCACGUCUGGGCUUGAGACUUUUUAAUCGGCCCAUGACGUGGGCUUGAAUUAAAUGGGAGAAAAUUAAUAUGCUAGCAGCCUGGCAUGACUCGAACUCAGGACCUCCUGCUCUGAUACCAUGUGAAACAACCGUUGUACUCUAAAAGCUUAAGCUGUUAGAGAACGGUGUUUAAAUAUUUUUAUAUUUAACAUUUAUUAUGCCUUACAUGUUGGAUUACUGUCUUGUCUCUGAAUCAGCUAAAUGGACAAAAUCAAGUGAAGGUUUAACCUGGUAUCAAGAUUAAUCUAAAGAUCCAAAUUUGAUAGCAAAACACAUGGGAGAACUAAUGUUUUGUUGUUCAUUCUUUCGUUAUUUCCCUUAAGUUUUUUUUUUUUUUCCUUAUUUUUUUUGUAUGUCUGUUUUCUUUUUGUAUGUCCGUUUUCUUACAUUUUUUGCAUUCAUUAAACAUGAAACUAAAUCCCUUCUCCUCCUCAAUCUUUUCUCUUAACUUGCGAAAUUAGUGACAUUGGGUUGCC
rnacentral:lncRNA from 1 species